GAUGAACGCUGGCGGUAUGCUUAACACAUGCAAGUCGAACGGACUCUUCGUACUUAGUGUCGGACCGGUGAGUAACGCGUGAUAAUCUGGCUUUAGGUUCGCGACAACCACUUGAAACGUUGGCUGAUACCGCAUUUGCCGAGGGGUGAAAGAGAAAUUUCCUGAAGAUUAGCUCGCGUCUGAUUAGCUAAUGAGUGAGGUAAAGGCCCACCAAGGCAGCGAUCAGUAGAUGCUCUGAGAGGAUGACUACCCACACUGGGACGGAGACACGGCCCAGGCUACUAUCGGCGGCAGACGAGGGGAAUUCUGCGCAACGGGGGAAAGGCUGACGGAGCAAUACCGUGUGAGAGCAGAAGGCUCUUGGGUUGUCAAGCUCUUUUCUUAGGGAAGCACACAAUGACGGUACCUAAGGAAUAAGCAUCGGCUAACUCCGUG
rnacentral:rRNA from 1 species